rnacentral:rRNA from 1 species
AUGAAUAUCUUAUUUUAGAACUGCCGGGGGGUGGGGAACCGCCGGACAGUUCGAGAGGUUUUGGCCCUCGCAAAAGCCAAUUCCCCAAAGCUUGUAUUUCUAAGUGAAACAAGGCAAGCUUAUGACAAGAUUGGAAAGUUGAAGUGGCGUUUAGGAUUGAAAGGUUUUCAUGGUGUUUGCAGUGACGGUCGGAGUGGCGGCCUAGCAUUAUUUUGGGACGAGUCU